rnacentral:rRNA from 1 species
GAUGAACGCUGGCGGCGUGCCUAACACAUGCAAGUCGAACGGAGAUUACGGACGGAAGUUUUCGGAUGGAAGACCGUACUUCUUAGUGGCGGACGGGUGAGCAACGCGUGGGCAACCUGCCCCAUACAGGGGGAUAGCAGCUGGCAACGGCUGGUAAGACCGCAUAAGUCGGCGAGACCGCAUGGUUUGGCCGGGGAAUGAGCAAUCAGGUAUAGGAUGGGCCCGCGUCCGAUUAGCCAGAUGGCAGGGUAAAAGCCUAGCAAAGCAACGAUGGUUAGCUGGACUGAGAGGUCGGACGGCCGCGUUGGGACUGAGACACGGCCCAAACUCCUACGGGGAGCAGCAGUAGGGGAUAUUGCACGAUGAAGGAUACUCUAAUGCAGCGGCGCCGCGUGAGUGAAGAAGUAUUUCGGUAUGUAAAUCUCUAUCAGCAGAGAAGAUGAUGACGGUACCUGACUAAGAAGCCCCGGCUAACUACGUG